rnacentral:rRNA from 1 species
GAUGAACGCUGGCGGCGUGCCUAAUACAUGCAAGUCGAGCGAACAGACGAGGAGCUUGCUCCUCUGACGUUAGCGGCGGACGGGUGAGUAACACGUGGCUAACCUACCUAUAAGACUGGGAUAACUUCGGGAAACCGGAGCUAAUACCGGAUAAUAUAUUGAACCGCAUGGUUCAAUAGUGAAAGACGGUUUUGCUGUCACUUAUAGAUGGAUCCGCGCCGCAUUAGCUAGUUGGUAAGGUAACGGCUUACUAAGGCAACGAUGCGUAGCCGACCUGAGAGGGUGAUCGGCCACACUGGAACUGAGACACGGUCCAGACUCCUACGGGAGGCAGCAGUAGGGAAUCUUCCGCAAUGGGCGAAAGCUUGACGGAGCAACGCCGCGUGAGUGAUGAAGGUCUUCGGAUCGUAAAACUCUGUUAUUAUGGAAGAACAAAUGUGUAAGUAACUAUGCACGUCUUGACGGUACCUAAACAGAAAGCCACGGCUAACUACGUG